rnacentral:rRNA from 1 species
CCCUUAGAUGUCCUGGGCCGCACGCGUGCUACACUGACGCAUACAGCGAGCACUUUCCAGUUCCGAGAGGCUACUGGUAAUCAUCAAUAUGCGUCGUGAUGGGGAUAGAUCUUUGGAAUUCUGGAUCUUGAACGAGGAAUGCCUAGUGAUCGCAGGUCAUUAGCCUGCGAUGAUUAAGUCCCUGCCCUUUGUACACACCGCCCGUCGCUACUACCGAUUUCGAGUGGUCAGGUGAAUCUUUCGGACUGUGGGCGCCCUUGAGGUGUUCGCGGAAAGUCAGGUAAAUCUUAUCACUUAGAGGAAGUAAAAGUCGUAACA